rnacentral:rRNA from 1 species
AGCGAACGCUGGCGGCAGGCCUAACACAUGCAAGUCGAACGAUCCUUCGGGCUAGUGGCGGACGGGUGAGUAACACGUGGGAACGUGCCCUUUGGUUCGGAACAACUCAGGGAAACUUGAGCUAAUACCGAAUGUGCCCUUCGGGGGAAAGAUUUAUCGCCAUUGGAGCGGCCCGCGUCUGAUUAGCUAGUUGGUGAGGUAAUGGCUCACCAAGGCGACGAUCAGUAGCUGGUCUGAGAGGAUGAUCAGCCACACUGGGACUGAGACACGGCCCAGACUCCUACGGGAGGCAGCAGUGGGGAAUCUUGCGCAAUGGGCGAAAGCCUGGCGCAGCCAUGCCGCGUGAAUGAUGAAGGUCUUAGGAUUGUAAAAUUCUUUCACCGGGGACGAUAAUGACGGUACCCGGAGAAGAAGCUCCGGCUAACUUCGUGCCAGCCGCCGCAGUAACAC